CGAUAGCUCAAUGGUAGAGCAGUUGACUCUUAAUCAAUUGGUUGAAGGUUCGAGUCCUU
rnacentral:tRNA from 1 species